rnacentral:lncRNA from 1 species
CUUUUGUUUUGGGACCCAAAUAAUACCAAUGCAAACAUAAGGUAAAAGUCCGAGUCAGCCUUUUCCCGCCAUAUUUUAAAUCUCAAAUAUCUCGAAAGGAGAUCCAGACCUACAAUAUUUAGCUUAUUUUUAUCAUUAAAGAAUGCUCUACCAGCUUAUAGUAUCAAUUUUAAAUUCUUGAUUUAUUAAUUUUCACCUAACCUCACC